rnacentral:misc_RNA from 1 species
GAUGAAGAACGUAGUGAAAUGCGAUACUUGGUGUGAAUUGCAGAAUCCCGUGAACCAUCGAGUCUUUGAACGCAAGUUGCGCCCGAAGCCAUUAGGCCGAGGGCACGCCUGCCUGGGCGUCACACGUCGUUGCCCCCCCAUCUACUCCUUCGGGAUUGCGGGGGGCGGAUGAUGGCCUCCCGUGCGCCUCGUCGCGCGGUUGGCAUAAAUGCCAAGUCCUCGGCGACGCACGCCACGACAAUCGGUGGUUGCGAAACCUCGGUUGCCCGUCGUGUGCGGUCGUCGCGCAUCGAGGGCUCGAAAAAAUUGCCGGGCUCCGGCUCGGCUUUCAACGCGACCCCAGGUCAGGCGGGGUUACCCGCUGAAUUUAAGCAUAUCAAAAGCGGAGGA